GACGAACCGUGCGAACGUUGUUCGGAAUCACUGGGCUUAAAGGGCGCGUAGGCGGAUCAUCAAGUCCGGGGUGAAAUCUUUCGGCUUAACCGGAAAAUAGCCUUGGAUACUGGUGGUCUCGAGUGAGGUAGGGGCCGGUUGGAACUUCCGGUGGAGCGGUGAAAUGCGUUGAUAUCGGAAGGAACGCCGGUGGCGAAAGCGACACGCUGGGCCGUACCUGACACUGAUGCGCGACAGCAUGGGGAGCAAACAGG
rnacentral:rRNA from 1 species